rnacentral:snoRNA from 1 species
GGCCUCCUGGUGCUUACCACAGGCUGUGUUCAUACACUGAAACAGGAGGCAACAUAAAUCUACCCCACAUACACCUCAGCACAGGCCCUGUGCCUGGUCUGUUUCAUGAAUGGGGAGAGAUGA